AAGAUUUUAAGUUAAAUUAAACUAAUAAUUUUCAAAAUUAUAAAUAAAUUUUUUUUUAAAUCUUA
rnacentral:tRNA from 1 species